rnacentral:rRNA from 1 species
UACGUAGGGAGCAAGCGUUGUCCGGAAUCAUUGGGCGUAAAGCGCGCGUAGGUGGCCAUGUAAGUCCGCUGUGAAAGUCAAAGGCUCAACCUUUGAAAGCCGGUGGAUACUGCAUGGCUAGAGUACGGAAGAGGCGAGUGGAAUUCCUGGUGUAGCGGUGGAAUGCGCAGAUAUCAGGAGGAACACCAAUGGCGAAGGCAGCUCGCUGGGACGGUACUGACGCUGGAGGCGCGAAAGCGUGGGGAGCAAACAGG